UACGUAGGGUGCAAGCGUUAAUCGGAAUUACUGGGCGUAAAGCGUGCGCAGGCGGUUAUGCAAGACAGAUGUGAAAUCCCCGGGCUCAACCUGGGAACUGCAUUUGUGACUGCAUGGCUAGAGUACGGUAGAGGGGGAUGGAAUUCCGCGUGUAGCAGUGAAAUGCGUAGAUAUGCGGAGGAACACCGAUGGCGAGGCAAUCCCCUGGACCUGUACUGACGCUCAUGCACGAAAAGCGUGGGGAGCAAACAGG
rnacentral:rRNA from 1 species